ACAGCGCUUUUGUGUAAAUGCGGAAUUGAAGUGAAUAAAUAAGAAGUUUCAUGGUGCACAAAAAAAAGCAGGCAUUUUUAUUUUGUUCUUUUUACUGGGGAAAAGCUUUAUUAUACUGUUCAAGAUUUACAAUUUAAAAUUGGCUUUUAUCAUGUCUAACUGAACAUAUGGUGUCCAUAGUUUUACAGUUAGAGAAACUCUGGACAACAACAUUAUGAAAAGCUCAAAGCUUUUUAUGCCCAGAAUUUUUACUAAUGCUAAAAAUGCACAGACUCCUCAUGGAGCAGAGGAAGAUAAACAGCAUUAAAAAAAGAGAGGUGUUGUGCCUGUAUGUGCUUUUCUGAGACGCUACGAGUGAUGCAGUAUUACAAGUUGUUCUUUAGAGUAGUCAAGAGUUAAAGCAUGUUCAGGUAGAAGAACUCAUAAUGAAAAUUAUUUGUAAUGAUGAACAUGAAAAAUCUGAUUUGAACACUGAGCAAGGAAUUGAGGAACCUUUGUUCUGCCAGUUUAUCCCCUAAUUAGCUAAUGAACAUAUGCAUUCCCUCUGAUUUAUCUCAUCUGUAAAAUGAUAGGUGAUUUUAUCUCAAAGCUUAUAUCAAGUUCUAAAAUGUAAAAAUUCUGUGAUUCUUAGAUAUACGAAACGAAUGACACAACUACACAUUGCAUCAAUUCGGAAGCUAUUCUCCCCAACCAGCUAUUGUAAACUGAGGUACUUGAGGUAACAAAACUCAUUUUGCUAUCCCAGUGACACGUCUAACCUCUUACUCACCAAUUAAUGGCCCUCUGUCAUGAAGGCAUGUCAAGAUCCUCUCAUGGUUGGCUGCUGGAAGCUGAGCCACCCACUUUUAUGUUUUAACCAGCAAAGAUCUUAUGGAGGCCACUCUGUGGCACACCCUAGGAAGGCCAGUUAACCAACCAUAUUGAAGUUUGAGUAAAUGUGUGAAGGCACUCCAGUGAGAGCACCCAGCUGGGUAUCUGUACUAGCCUGUAGAGCAUUGCCCCCAAGUUCAUGUCUACUAAGAACCUCAGAAUGUGACCUUAUUUGGAAAUAGGGUCUUUGUGGAUGUAAUCAGUUCGGUUAAAAUGACGUCAUGCUGGAUUACAGUGGACCCUAAAUCCUUAAGAGAAGGCUAUGUAGAGACACAGAGACAGAAGAAGAAGGCUGUGUAAAGAUGGGGACCAAACAAACAAAAAACAAAACAGAGUACCUGGAACCACCAGAAGCUGAAGAGAUGAGGAAGGUUUUUUCUCUGGAGUCUUCAGAGAUAACUUGUCCCUGCUGACCCCUUGAUUUCAGAUAUCUGGCCUCCAAGACUGUGAGAAUAAAUUUCUGUUGUUGUAAACCACCUUGUUUGUGGAACUUUGCUACGGAAGCCCUAGGACACACCAGUAUAGUAUCUUGGAUGUUUUUAUAUCCUUAGCUACUAUCACUGUGCCUGGCAAAUAGGAGGGGCUCUAUACAUUUUUGUUCAGCAUGUAAAUGAUUGAAUUAUAUAUAGGUCGUGAUUAAUUUCAUGGUCUUACCUUGUUUUAGUUAAGCUAGCUGCAGCCUUCAUACUGAAUGCAAAACAGGAAGCAGUGGGAAUGCCACUUAAGAAUGUAAAACGCUGGGGAUAAGCUCCCCUCCUGAACUGCUACUAACUAACAAAGUCAAAGCAUGUAGAAGUGAAGAAAGAGAGGGAAGGAAUGAAGGAAAGAAGGAAAAGAAGAUUGAGAGGGAAAGAAUAUCGAUGCAUCAACAUUAGAGAGAGUGACAAAGGCUUAUGCUUCCUAUGUUAUUCUUUCUUGGAAAUGUAAGAUUUCUCCGUGGAGAAGGAAGAAAGUGAUCAAAGGGUUUGAAGACUUGAACGUUAUAGUGUUAAUUCCAUGUGCAACUCAAGACCAUGUACAACUCAAGAUUGUGGCUUGCCCAUAAUAGGUUCAGAAUAUUUGUUUUUGUGAUUAAAUUACAUUGGUGAGUAUUGCAUAUUUCUGGUGUUCUUUGUGACCCCUCCAAAAUGAUGAUGACGGUGAUGAUGAUGAUGUAUUUGAUUUCAACACCUACUGAUUUAUAGCAGCAGAUGUAGCAAUGUGGUGUGGCAAGUCAGUAGAGCCCGUACGUCAGAACAGUGAUGGAACUGGAAGCAUAAAAGAUUAAAAUUCAUGAAAGACAAGAAAAAGGAGCUUUUUUUUUUCCAUUUUAAGAAUCUUGAUAAAGCUGAUUUUGAUAGAUUCGAAGAAGCAAAGUAAGCUCUUCCCUGCUCUGACGUAUACCAUGCCAAGCUGUCUUAGUCCUGGUCAUCUAGCUUAUUGUCUAAGAAUGCCAGAGAUUUAGUGCCUGUCUUCAGAUCUCCAUCACGGUGAGUGGAGAAGUUGAAAAGAUGCCUGCAGGGAGACAAGAAUGAGUAUGCUUUCUUGGGUCUAGGUGUGGGAAUGUCGAAACUAUCAUCACCUGCUUUCAGCAGCCCUGGUGUGUUGUUUCAUGUCAGUGACAAGUAUUCUGGAAUGCAUUUGAUUUGUGCAAAGAUGUUCCUCAACUUUGUCUACGAGGAGUUAAUGUUUGACUUUGACCUUUCCUAAAGGGAGCUAUUUGUAAGGUGGGAUUGGCCUCUGUUACCUCAGGAGGAAAAAAACAUGUUGGUGACAAGAACAUUUCUAAAUGAAGAGCUUGGAAACUAGGCAAAGCAAAUAUGGUUACUUUGAUUUUUGACACUGCAGCUUCUUUUUUCCUUCAAAAUACAGGUACUCCAUUUUAUGUGAAUUAGAAAAAAUUGUAUAAUUUGUCUAGGAAUUUUAUUUAUCAUUCAAGUACUGAAAGUUCAAUUGUAGGUCCUUCCAAGGAAUUCUGUUAAGACAGAGGCAAAUCUGUGGUAAUGAUCUCAGAAUUCUCUCGCUGAAAAUGUUUCUUGAAGUUUCAAAAGGUACUGCCAUCAAAGAAAAACUGCUUUAGGCAGCUUCUAAGAGGGAGAUUUAACUUAUUCAUUUAAUACUGGACAUUUUUCAGAAGGUCAUGUCAUUCACUGAUUCUUUGUGAUCCUUUCUCCCUCCUUCCCCCAUUCUCCUCCUCACAUGUGGAUUUUCAGAAAUAAACAAUUAUCCUUGGAAAACCU
ensembl:lncRNA